rnacentral:rRNA from 1 species
AGUGUACGUCAGACUUCCAAGAAAAGCUCGCAAUGUCAUAAAUAAAAAGUGCCUGUACCAUAACCGACACAGGUGGGUAGGUAGAGUAUACUAAGGGGCGCGAGAUAACUCUCUCUAAGGAACUCGGCAAAAUGACUCCGUAACUUCGGGAGAAGGAGUGCCUUAUUUAUAAGGUUGCAAUAACAAGAUCCAAGCAACUGUUUUAUCAAAAACACAGGUCUCCGCUAAGUCGUAAGACGAUGUAUGGGGGCUGACGCCUGCCCAGUGCCAGAAGGUUAAAGAAGUUGGUUAGUGUAUGCGAAGCUGAUGACUGAAGCCCUGGUGAACGGCGGCCGUAACGAUAACGGUCCUAAGGUAGCGAAAUUCCUUGUCGGGUAAGUUCCGACCCGCACGAAAGGCGUAAUGAUUUGGAUACUGUCUCGGAGAGAGGCUCGGUGAAAUAGACUUGUCUGUGAAGAUGCGGACUACCUGCACCAGGACAGAAAGACCCUAUGAAGCUUUACUGUAACUUGAAAUUGGAAUUGGACUUUGCUUGCGCAGUAUAGGUGGGAAGCGUUGAAGAUAUUCUUGCGGGAGUAUUGGAGCUAUCAGUGAGAUACCACUCUUGUAAUGUUAGAUUUCUAACUUUGAACCAUAAUCUGGUCAAAGAACAGUUUCAGGUGGGCAGUUUGACUGGGGCGGUCGCCUCCCAAAUGGUAACGGAGGCGUGCAAAGGUUUCCUCUGAACGGAUAGAAAUCGUAUCUAGAGUGUAAAGGCAUAAGGAAGCUUGACUGUGAGACCUACAAGUCGAGCAGGGACGAAAGUCGGUCUUAGUGAUCUGACGGUACUGAGUGGAAAGGCCGUCACUCAACGGAUAAAAGUUACUCUAGGAUAACAGGCUGAUCUCCCCCAAGAGUUCACAUCGACGGGGAGGUUUGGCACCUCGAUGUCGGCUCAUCGCAUCCUGGGGCGGUAGUACGUCCCAAGGGUUGGGCUGUUCGCCCAUGAAAGCGGUACGCGAGCUGGGUUCAGAACGUCGUGAGACAGUUCGGUCCAUAUCCGGUGUAGGCGUUAGAAUAUUGAGAGGAGCCUUCUUUAGUACGAGAGGACCGAGAAGGACACACCGCUGGUGUACCAGUUAUCGUGCCAACGGUAAACGCUGGGUAGCUAUGUGUGGAGUGGAUAACCGCUGAAAGCAUCUAAGUGGGAAGCCCACCUCAAGAUGAGUAUUCUCAUCACUAUAAGUGAGUAAGGUCACGGUAAGACUAACCGUUUGAUAGGCAUUAAGUGUAAAUGUAGUAAUGCAUGUGCUGAGAUGUCCUAACAGACCGAGGACUU